AGUGAACGCUGGCGGUAGGCCUAACACAUGCAAGUCGAACGGCAACACAGUGAGCUUUUGCUCUUACGGGUGGCGAGUGGCGGACGGGUGAGGAAUGCAUCGGCAUCUACUUUUUCUUGGGGGACAACGUGGGGCAACAUACACUACUACCUCAUAUAUCCUACCGCUUAGAUCAGUAGAUCUUGGCGCCUUUGCUGUUUCUUAUAGCCGGUGUCGCAUUAGCUAGUUGGGUAGGUAAGGGCCCACCAAGGCGACGAUCCGUAGCUGGUCUGAGAGGAUGAUCGGCCACACUGGAACUGAGACACGGUCCAGACUCCUACGGGAGGCAGCAGUGGGGAAUCUUGCGCAAUGGGCGAAAGCUUGAUGCAGCCAUGCCGCGUGAGUGAAGAAGGCCUUCGGGUCGUAAAGCUCUGUUGUUAGGAAAGAAAAACUGCAGGUGAAUACACGGCUGUCUUGACGGUACCCAAACAGAAAGCACCGGCUAACUUCGUG
rnacentral:rRNA from 1 species